rnacentral:misc_RNA from 1 species
UUGUAAUGCGAUGGCUCAUU